AUUGAACGCUGGCGGCAGGCUUAACACAUGCAAGUCGAGCGGGGUGAUGGUGCUUGCACUAUCACUUAGCGGCGGACGGGUGAGUAAUGCUUAGGAAUCUGCCUAUUAGUGGGGGACAACAUCUCGAAAGGGAUGCUAAUACCGCAUACGUCCUACGGGAGAGAGCAGGGGAUCACUUGUGACCUUGCGCUAAUAGAUGAGCCUAAGUCGGAUUAGCUAGUUGGUGGGGUAAAGGCCUACCAAGGCGACGAUCUGUAGCGGGUCUGAGAGGAUGGCCAGCCACACUGGGACUGAGACACGGCCCAGACUCCUACGGGAGGCAGCAGUGGGGAAUAUUGGACAAUGGGGGGAACCCUGAUCCAGCCAUGCCGCGUGUGUGAAGAAGGCCUUAUGGUUGUAAAGCACUUUAAGCGAGGAGGAGGCUCUUUUGGUUAAUACCCAAGAUGAGUGGACGUUACUCGCAGAAUAAGCACCGGCUAACUCUGUGCCAGCCGCCGCGGUAA
rnacentral:rRNA from 1 species